rnacentral:rRNA from 1 species
GACGAACGCUGGCGGCGUGCUUAACACAUGCAAGUCGAACGAUGAAGAACACUACUUGUAGUGUUUGGAUUAGUGGCGAACGGGUGAGUAACACGUGAGUAACCUGCCCUCCACUUUGGGAUAACCAUUGGAAACGGUGGCUAAUACUGGAUAUGACAACUACUCGCAUGGGUGGUUGUGGAAAGCUUUAGUGGUGGGGGAUGGACUCGCGGCCUAUCAGCUUGUUGGUGGGGUAAUGGCCUACCAAGGCGACGACGGGUAGCCGGCCUGAGAGGGCGACCGGCCACACUGGGACUGAGACACGGCCCAGACUCCUACGGGAGGCAGCAGUGGGGAAUAUUGCACAAUGGGCGAAAGCCUGAUGCAGCGACGCCGCGUGGGGGAUGAAGGCCUUCGGGUUGUAAACCCCUUUCAGUAAGGAACAAGGCCAUAUCUUUUGUGUGGUUGAGGGUACU